rnacentral:lncRNA from 1 species
CUGCGAAGUUCCACACUCCACGACGCACAAUCCCACACAGCCACUCCGCCAAAGUUGCCACCCAUCGUGGCCAAGAGUCCCGGACACCCACUCGCCGCUUCCGGGGGGCCGCAGCCGGGGUCCCAGGGCCAGGGCGCCCUGCCCCCGCCCCCUGCACGCCCCCGCCGUCAAUCAACGCCCCCCACCCCCGGGCUGGGCGCGGGGGGCGCGGCCUGGGACCCAUCCGGAUCACCACGGCGGCGCGUCCGGAAGACCCGCAACAGCCGCCAGCUCCGCCACCCACAAAACUCAAGUUGCCCGCGCCAUGGCCCCGCGCGCCGCGGUCCCAGAGGGCACGACCGAGCGGGGUCCGUGCGCGGCCAGUGCGGGGAGCAGCGCCCGGCCGGGCCUCGGGUCCGUCUCGCUCACCUCUCGGGGUGCGCCGCCUUCCUCCGCCGCUGCCGCCGCCUCCUCCCUGUGAGUGCAGCGGGGUCUGACCUGUGGAACCACCAUACCAGUCCCGCCCGCUGCUGCAGCGCCGCCGCCGCCGCUCCUCCGCCGCCUCAGCCGCCGCUCUUUGUUCCCCCUCCGAAGCGCCACCGCGUCAGCCGCCCGCCUCAGCCGCCCCGACGGGCCGCCACUACGCCCUCCCGCCCUCUCGGCCCCCGGCCUCGCCCUCCUCGCUGCGCCCACUGCCGCCUUCGCCUCCCCGCCGCCGACGCCGCCGCCACGGACGCCGCCGCCUCCUCCUUCGCGCCCCCCUCGUUUUCAUUGAAAGCAAACAAGCAUCAUGGCGGCGGCCGCCGUCCCCCAGCCAGCGAGCACCCCGACCGCCGCCGCCGCUUCAACAUCCCGGCCGCCCAUUGGCCAGCGCCGCCGGGCGCGACCAUUCGGUGUCCGGCGGGGUGGGUGGCUCCCCGCACGCCGUGCCCAAGCCCCGCCCCCUCGGACUCCCCCGCGCUGGGCGGCGGUGGACCGGCCCGGCGCGCUCCUAGGUCAGCCCUGCCGCUGCUCUUCCCGCUUUCCGUCUCUCCUUACCCGCUCCGUCCCUUCUCUCUCCUCUUCUUCGCCGCCCUGUUUUCCCAUUUAUUCCCCCCGCCCUUUUUUAUGUCCCAGGCUGUUCACUUUUGUCUCCUCUCUUCGCUCCCUUUCCUCGGUCUCCUUCCCCUUCGUUCUGCCAGUCACGUGGAAACGCGGACCAGUUCUCAGGCUUGA